UAUAAAGGCAAACCCGUUGAAAAGCGGGGACGCAAAGCCAAGGGUCUAACGUCCGAAGGACUAUGACAGCCGGUUGCCGC
rnacentral:ncRNA from 1 species